rnacentral:snoRNA from 1 species
GAGAUCGUGCUUCAUGGGAUCAUUUCUAUAGUGCGAUCGCCGAGACGCAUCCGCGAACUCGGAACACACUCGACUACGAUGACGAGUCGAGGGUCUCCGCCUGAGCGCGAAGCCGGCUUCGGAAUUCCGGGUUUCGGCCUGGGGUCCAGCCAUUGGUGACCGUUCCCUCAGCCUUGAUUGGCUGUUGGGAGGGCGGAGACUCAGUCUGAGUGGC